GGGCCCGCACAAGCGGUGGAGUAUGUGGUUUAAUUCGAUGCAACGCGAAGAACCUUACCUACACUUGACAUCCAGAGAACUUUCUAGAGAUAGAUUGGUGCCUUCGGGAACUCUGAGACAGGUGCUGCAUGGCUGUCGUCAGCUCGUGUCGUGAGAUGUUGGGUUAAGUCCUAUAACGAGCGCAACCCUUACCCUUAUUUGCCAGCGGUUAGGCCGGGAACUAUAAGGGAACUGCCGGUAAUAAGCCGGAGGAAGGUGGGGACGACGUCAAGUCAUCAUGGCCCUUACGUGUAGGGCUACACACGUGCUACAAUGGCUAAUACAAUGGGCAGCCAACCCGCGAGGGGGAGCCAAUCCAAUAAAAUUAGUCUCAGUCCGGAUCGAAGUCUGCAACUCGACUUCGUGAAGUUGGAAUCGCUAGUAAUCG
rnacentral:rRNA from 1 species